CAGUAGCCACGGUAAUACGUAGGGGGCAAGCGUUAUCCGGAAUUACUGGGUGUAAAGGGAGCGUAGACGGUUAAACAAGUCUGAAGUGAAAUGCCGGGGCUCAACCCCGGAGCUGCUUUGGGAACUGUAGAACUGGAGUGUCGGAGGGGUAAGCGGAAUUCCCAGUGUAGCGGUGAAAUGCGUAGAUAUUGGGAGGAACACCGGCGGCGAAGGCGGCUUACUGGACGACAACUGACGUUGAGGCUCGAAGGCGUGGGUAGCAAACAGGAUUAGAUACCCCGGUAGUCCCUGUCUCUUAUAC
rnacentral:rRNA from 1 species